GAUGAACGCUGGCGGCGUGCUUAACACAUGCAAGUCGAACGAAGCACUUAAGUGAAUUUCUUCGGAAUGAAGCUUUUGUGACUGAGUGGCGGACGGGUGAGUAACGCGUGGGUAACCUGCCUCAUACAGGGGGAUAACAGUUAGAAAUGACUGCUAAUACCGCAUAAGCGCACAGCUUCGCAUGAAGCGGUGUGAAAAACUCCGGUGGUAUGAGAUGGACCCGCGUCUGAUUAGCUGGUUGGCGGGGUAACGGCCCACCAAGGCGACGAUCAGUAGCCGACCUGAGAGGGUGACCGGCCACAUUGGGACUGAGACACGGCCCAA
rnacentral:rRNA from 1 species